GUGCGCAUGUACACGUGUGGACGCCUUGUGCGCAUGUGUAAAUACAAGCAUGUGAGAAACGGAGAGGCAAGCCCGUUGUACCACAAAUUCAGAUCCUGUGACGUUAGUGUACGACAAAGAACGAAAAUCUUUCUUAACCCAGAGAUGUCGAUUUACGGAAAAAGCUGAAGUAGAAAACAGCCCCGGGAAUUUUUAUGACCAGGAGGAGUGAGGCACUGAGCAUCCAUUCAUUUAUUCUACUUCAGGAAACAGAAACUUACUGUCAGCCAAUUUCAAGUCUAAUGAUGAUGACCCAUAUGCUGAAGACUCCCAAAUCAAUAUCUCCAGCAUCUUCGCUGAAAUCUAAGCACACACUUAUCUGUCUUCUUGACCGUGUCACAUGGAUGUUCAACAGGCAUCUCCAAAUGAAUAAUUAUCCAAAACUGAACUCUGGAAUUUUCUUCCCAACCCUGCUUUUAUAGUUUUCUCCAUCACCGGAAUUUCUAGCAUCAUGGGCUGGGGCUCCAGUAUGGACCAAACAGCCCAGAAGUUGCCUGCAACCAGUUUGGUUAUGAAAAUGACCUUAAGCUGACCUUACCUGCUGCUUGAGCUGUUUCCACAUCCUAAGAUGCUUAUUGCACAACCAGAAACCUCCUGUUGAAAAUACAGCUGGAAGCCAGCGUAAAUGGAGGGUAACGUGGCAAACAUUCCUCUGGUCCCUCAGCGUGAGGGCACAUCCCGUAAUGAGACCAGCAGUGGCUUGAGGAUGAGAAAUCAGACACCCAGAUCCUGCCACCUUGAAACAGACUCAGUGUCAAGUGUCUGGAGCAAGCUGGCUGGUUCAGGGCAACCACAAUGUCCCUUAUUCCAUGAAUUGCACUCAUCACUCAGGAAGGUCUAGGACAUUAUUUCAAGAUCCCAAUCCUUGGCCCAGAACUCCAACUGCAGUUUUCCAUCUGGAGAACCAGCCAGUGACCUCCCAAAUCUUCCCCUCUCUCUGCACGUCUCUGCCCCAGGGGGAAAUGAUGAGGACACCCUCUUGGCUCCUGGAGUGUUCUAUGGUGACGGCAGGAAAAUCCAGCUUCUGGAAGUGGACCUUGAUGGAGACGGAGACGGUGUAGAAGGAGGAGAUGAGGAGGGCACAUUGCCAGAAAAUAAGGGCCACGGCCGUCAGCGUGAAGAGAACCCAGAGCAGGCGCCGCAGGCGGCCGCGGGACACCACGAUGCGGCGGCAGCCGUGGGUGUUGGUGUUGAGGCAGUACCACCGCAUCAGCUCUUUUAUGGGCCGCUCAUGACAGCGAUUCUCUACUGCGCCCCACCACCCCGGAGCUUGCCUAUCUCCCAUACCCCAGGAAGGGACCCCAAGCCUCAGGCUCUGGGAGUGGGACUCGAGCUCCCCCCUGGCGUCUCUGCAGCCCCUGCCCACCCCGCACAGAGCGACCGCACGCUGUGCUGUGGCAGAAGUCACGUCUGCUGACGCCGCCGGAGAGAAUCCAACCAACCCGAUUCAAGUGUUUGCUUCUUUCUGCAACCACGGUCACCCCAGAGAAAACAUUCCAGAGAGCAAAAGGAACAAUCGCGGUCAAUUCUCGCCAAGGCCUGAACAGGUGCUGGGCGGAGAGACAAGGCGAGGCGCGGCCCGGGACCCCCAGAGCCCCGGACCCUGAAUAGCCCAGAAACGCCUGUCACCCCAGCUCUGCGUCCCGGGCGACGGCGUGGGCAGACGCCAGAGAGCUGGCUGGACCCGGAUUGGCCUGAGAAGGUGUCCCAGCAUCCUAGCCACCGGGAGGCAGCCCCGGGCUGAUGCCAGCCAGCUCCGCCACCGACCGCGCGGACGGUGUCCGAGAAGCCAUCGCGCCCCGCGGCCGCUCCGGUGCCUGAAACCCCGAAGCUAGUGCGACCCCACCCGGCUCGGCUCACCUCUCUC